AACUCUAUUGCGCAGCUCGCUGCCGUGCGUUUAACCCAGGCGAGGAGGAGGAGGAGAAAAUUCCCCCAGAUUCGGGCAGGCCCGCACCCCACAUUCCGUCCUGUUUUGAGAGGAGGAGGGAAGAGAAAUAAACGUGGCAGCGCAUAGAAGGCCAGCAGGGAGACUGCUUUCCAGACACCUCCGGCCCACACAGCCGUUCACCCCCCGUCUUUUCAGUCCUGGAAAAGGAAUUCGGGCUUUCAUUGUCUAACGUCGACAGUCUAUAUUUCUGCUCUUCAGUCUGUCCUUAGGAUGAAGCUCUAACUGAACUGAAGUAAGGAGAAACAGCCUUGAAUCUUUGGAGGGUCUGUCUUCCUUUUGGGCUCUGUGCAACUGCAGCUACAGUGGAAAAAAGCAAACUGCUCUUGAUCCCAGGCCCUGCCUAAGCCUCAGCAGAACUUGUAAGCCUAAACUGAAGAGCCUCACCCGGACGAGCAGGCAUCCCUUAACCUUAAGCAAUCCAGUUCCACGCCCUGGAUCAGUGAAUAACCCCAGCUGCACCAUGAGCCGCGUUCGGGAUGCUGGCUGUGUAGCGGCGGGGAUAGUGAUAGGGGCUGGUGCCUGGUACUGUGU
rnacentral:lncRNA from 1 species